rnacentral:rRNA from 1 species
GACGAACGCUGGCGGCGUGCUUAACACAUGCAAGUCGAGCGAUGAAGCACCUUCGGGUGUGAAUUAGCGGCGAACGGGUGAGGAACACGUGAAGAAUCUGCCUUCAACUCUGGGAUAACUCCGGGAAACCGGGGCUAAUACCGGAUAUGAGCCUUGAUCGCAUGAUCGGGGCUGGAAAGUUUUUCGGUUGAAGAUGACUUCGCGGCCUAUCAGGUUGUUGGUGAGGUGAUGGCUCACCAAGGCGACGACGGGUAGCCGGCCUGAGAGGGCGAGCGGCCACAGUGGGAAUAAGACACGGCACAGAGUUCUACGUGGGGCAGCUGUAGGGAAUAUUGGCCAAUGGAGAAAACCCUGACCCAGCAACGCCGGGUGAGGGAUGAAGUCCUUCGGGUUGAAAACCUCUUUAUUAGGGGAAGAAGCGAAAGUGACGGUACCAACAGAAGAACCACCGGCUAACUAUGUGCCAGCCGCCGCGGUAA